rnacentral:rRNA from 1 species
GACGAACGCUGGCGGCGUGCUUAACACAUGCGAGUCGAACGGAAAGGCCUCUUUCGGGGGGUACUCGAGUGGCGAACGGGUGAGUAACACGUGAGUAACCUGCCCUUGACUUUGGGAUAACUUCAGGAAACUGGGGCUAAUACCGGAUAGGAGCUCCUGCUGCAUGGUGGGGGUUGGAAAGUUUCGGCGGUUGGGGAUGGACUCGCGGCUUAUCAGCUUGUUGGUGGGGUAGUGGCUUACCAAGGCUUUGACGGGUAGCCGGCCUGAGAGGGUGACCGGCCACAGUGGGACUGAGAUACGGCCCAGACUCCUACGGGAGGCAGCAGUGGGGAAUAUUGCACAAUGGGUGGAAGCCUGAUGCAGCAACGCCGUGUGCGGGAUGACGGCCUUCGGGUUGUAAACCGCUUUCGCUCAUGACGAAGCUUUGUGUGACGGUAGUGGGUAAAGAAGCACCGGCUAACUACGUG